rnacentral:rRNA from 1 species
AUUGAACGCUAGCGGGAUGCCUUACACAUGCAAGUCGAACGAGUGGCGAACGGGUGAGUAAUGUAUCGGAACGAGCCCAGUAGCGGGGGAUAACUACGCGAAACGUAGCUAAUCCCGCAUACUAUUGGAGCGGCCGAUAGCGGAUUAGCUAGUUGGUGGGGUAACGGCUUACCAAGGCGACGAUCCGUAGCUGGUUUGAGAGGACGACCAGCCACUCUGGGACUGCGACACGGCCCAGACUCCUACGCGAGGCAGCAUAGGAGAAUUUUUGACAAUGGGGGAACCCCUGAUCCAGCCAUCCCGCGUGUGCGAUGAAGGCCUUCGGGUUGUAAAGCACUUUUGGCAGGAAAGCGGUACCUGCAGAAUAAGCACCGGCUAACUACGUGCCAGCAGCCGCGGUAAUAC